rnacentral:rRNA from 1 species
UACGGGGGGGGCAAGCGUUGUUCGGAAUUACUGGGCGUAAAGGGCGCGUAGGCGGCCUGGUAAGUAGGGGGUGAAAUCCUGCGGCUUAACCGCAGGGCUGCCUUCUAAACUGUCAGGCUUGAGCACGGUAGAGGCAGAUGGAAUUCCCGGUGUAGCGGUGGAAUGCGUAGAGAUCGGGAAGAACAUCAGUGGCGAAGGCGGUCUGCUGGGCCGUUGCUGACGCUGAGGCGCGACAGCGUGGGGAGCAAACAGG